CCUACGGGUGGCUGCAGUGGGGAAUAUUGGACAAUGGGCGGAAGCCUGAUCCAGCAACGCCGCGUGAGGGAUGACGGCCUUCGGGUUGUAAACCUCUUUCGUCAUCGACGAAGUCAUGGUUUUUCCAUGGUGACGGUAGGUGGGGAAGAAGCACCGGCCAACUACGUGCCAGCAGCCGCGGUAAUACGUAGGGUGCGAGCGUUGUCCGGAAUUAUUGGGCGUAAAGGGCUCGUAGGCGGUUUGUCGCGUCGGGAGUGAAAACACUGGGCUUAACC
rnacentral:rRNA from 1 species